GUGUCGUGUUUUAAGGAUCUAACAACGUAGAGCCGGUUCGUUUUANAGCCUAACACAUGCAAGUCGAACGGCAGCACAGGAGAGCUUGCUCUUUGGGUGGCGAGUGGCGGACGAGGUGAGGAAUACAUCGGAAUCUACUCUAGUCGUGGGGGAUAACAGUACGUAGAGAAAACUUUACAUAGCUAAAUACCCAGCAUACAGACCUACUGAGAGUUGAAAAUGCAAAGUAGGAUGAUCUCUCAAGAGACCUAUGCCAGCAGAAUUUAGAAAUUAGAUGCCCUGAUUGUCAGUGAAUUAGCUAUGUUUAGAGCAAGAGNGAGUAAAAAGAGCCCACCAAAGAGCACG
rnacentral:rRNA from 1 species